GGCAGCAGUAGGGAAUAUUGCUUAAUGGGCGCAAGCCUGAAGCAGCAACGCCGCGUGUGCGAUGACGGCCUUCGGGUUGUAAAGCACUUUUAGGUGGGAAGAGGAAGGACGGUACCACCUGAAUAAGCCUCGGCUAACUACGUGCCAGCAGCCGCGGUAAAACGUAGGAGGCGAGCGUUAUCCGGAUUUACUGGGUGUAAAGCGCGUGCAGGCGGUUCGUUAAGUUGGAUGUGAAAGCUCCCGGCUCAACUGGGAGAGGUCGUACAAGACUGGCGGACUGGAGUGUGGUAGGGGAAGGUGGAAUUCCGGGUGUAGUGGUGAAAUGCGUAGAUAUCCGGAGGAACACCAGUGGCGAAGGCGGCCUUCUAGACCACAACUGACGCUCAGACGCGAAAGCUAGGGUAGCAAACGGGAUUAGAGACCCCGGUAGUCCUAGCCGUAAACGAUGUGAACUUGGCGGCGGUUGGGUAAAACCGAUCGGUGCCGAAGCAAACGCGAUAAGUUCACCACCUGGGGACUACGGCCGCAAGGUUA
rnacentral:rRNA from 1 species